rnacentral:rRNA from 1 species
GAUGAACGCUAGCGGCAGGCUUAAUACAUGCAAGUCGAGGGGCAGCACAGAUAGCAAUAUUGGGUGGCGACCGGCAAACGGGUGCGGAACACGUACACAACCUUCCUUUUGGGGGGGGAUAGCCUUUGGAAACGGAGAUUAAUACCCCAUAAGAUAUUGGGACCGCAUGGUUUUGAUAUUAAAGAUUUAUUGCCAGAAGAGGGGUGUGCGUAUGAUUAGGUAGUUGGUGAGGUAAAGGCUCACCAAGCCGAAGAUCAUUAACGGGUGUGAGAGCACGACCAGUCACACGGGCACUGAGACACGGGCCCGACUCCUACGGGAGGCAGCAGUAAGGAAUAUUGGUCAAUGGACGGAAGUCUGAACCAGCCAUGCCGCGUGGAGGAUGAAGGUCCUCUGGAUUGUAAACUUCUUUUAUAUGGGGCGAAAAAGGGCCAUUCUUGGUCAACUGACGGUACCAUAUGAAUAAGCACCGGCUAACUCCGUGCCAGCCGCCGCAGUAACAC